GGUUAAGCGACUAAGCGUACACGGUGGAUGCCCUGGCAGUCAGAGGCGAUGAAGGACGUGCUAAUCUGCGAAAAGCGUCGGCGAGGUGAUAUGAACCUUUGACCCGGCGAUGUCCGAAUGGGGAAACCCAGUGUGAUUCGUCACACUAUCGUUAACUGAAUACAUAGGUUAACGAGGCGAACCGGGGGAACUGAAACAUCUAAGUACCCCGAGGAAAAGAAAUCAACCGAGAUUCCCCCAGUAGCGGCGAGCGAACGGGGAGCAGCCCAGAGUCUGAAUCAGCUUGUGUGUUAGUGGAAGCGUCUGGAAAGUCGCACGGUACAGGGUGACAGUCCCGUACACGAAAGCACACAGGUUGUGAACUCGAAGAGUAGGGCGGGACACGUGGUAUCCUGUCUGAAUAUGGGGGGACCAUCCUCCAAGGCUAAAUACUCCUGACUGACCGAUAGUGAACCAGUACCGUGAGGGAAAGGCGAAAAGAACCCCGGCGAGGGGAGUGAAAAAGAACCUGAAACCGUGUACGUACAAGCAGUGGGAGCACCUUCGUGGUGUGACUGCGUACCUUUUGUAUAAUGGGUCAGCGACUUAUAUUCUGUAGCAAGGUUAACCGUAUAGGGGAGCCGAAGGGAAACCGAGUCUUAACUGGGCGUUAAGUUGCAGGGUAUAGACCCGAAACCCGGUGAUCUAGCCAUGGGCAGGUUGAAGGUUGGGUAACACUAACUGGAGGACCGAACCGACUAAUGUUGAAAAAUUAGCGGAUGACUUGUGGCUGGGGGUGAAAGGCCAAUCAAACCGGGAGAUAGCUGGUUCUCCCCGAAAGCUAUUUAGGUAGCGCCUCGUGAACUCAUCUUCGGGGGUAGAGCACUGUUUCGGCUAGGGGGCCAUCCCGGCUUACCAACCCGAUGCAAACUACGAAUACCGAAGAAUGUUAUCACGGGAGACACACGGCGGGUGCUAACGUCCGUCGUGAAGAGGGAAACAACCCAGACCGCCAGCUAAGGUCCCAAAGUCAUGGUUAAGUGGGAAACGAUGUGGGAAGGCACAGACAGCCAGGAUGUUGGCUUAGAAGCAGCCAUCAUUUAAAGAAAGCGUAAUAGCUCACUGGUCGAGUCGGCCUGCGCGGAAGAUGUAACGGGGCUAAACUAUGCACCGAAGCUGCGGCAGCGACGCUUAUGCGUUGUUGGGUAGGGGAGCGUUCUGUAAGCCGUUGAAGGUGUGCUGUGAGGCAUGCUGGAGGUAUCAGAAGUGCGAAUGCUGACAUAAGUAACGAUAAAGCGGGUGAAAAGCCCGCUCGCCGGAAGACCAAGGGUUCCUGUCCAACGUUAAUCGGGGCAGGGUGAGUCGACCCCUAAGGCGAGGCCGAAAGGCGUAGUCGAUGGGAAACAGGUUAAUAUUCCUGUACUUGGUGUUACUGCGAAGGGGGGACGGAGAAGGCUAUGUUAGCCGGGCGACGGUUGUCCCGGUUUAAGCAUGUAGGCGGAACGAUUAGGUAAAUCCGGUCGUUUUUUAACGCUGAGGUGUGAUGACGAGGCACUACGGUGCUGAAGUAACAAAUGCCCUGCUUCCAGGAAAAGCCUCUAAGCAUCAGGUAACAUCAAAUCGUACCCCAAACCGACACAGGUGGUCAGGUAGAGAAUACCAAGGCGCUUGAGAGAACUCGGGUGAAGGAACUAGGCAAAAUGGUGCCGUAACUUCGGGAGAAGGCACGCUGAUAUGUAGGUGAAGCCCCUGCGGGUGGAGCUGAAAUCAGUCGAAGAUACCAGCUGGCUGCAACUGUUUAUUAAAAACACAGCACUGUGCAAACACGAAAGUGGACGUAUACGGUGUGACGCCUGCCCGGUGCCGGAAGGUUAAUUGAUGGGGUUAGCGGCAACGCGAAGCUCUUGAUCGAAGCCCCGGUAAACGGCGGCCGUAACUAUAACGGUCCUAAGGUAGCGAAAUUCCUUGUCGGGUAAGUUCCGACCUGCACGAAUGGCGUAAUGAUGGCCAGGCUGUCUCCACCCGAGACUCAGUGAAAUUGAACUCGCUGUGAAGAUGCAGUGUACCCGCGGCAAGACGGAAAGACCCCGUGAACCUUUACUAUAGCUUGACACUGAACACUGGUCCUUGAUGUGUAGGAUAGGUGGGAGGCUUUGAAGUGUGGACGCCAGUCUGCAUGGAGCCGUCCUUGAAAUACCACCCUUUAAUGGCUGGUGUUCUAACGUAGACCCGUAAUCCGGGUUGCGGACAGUGUCUGGUGGGUAGUUUGACUGGGGCGGUCUCCUCCCAAAGAGUAACGGAGGAGCACGAAGGUUAGCUAAUCCUGGUCGGACAUCAGGAGGUUAGUGCAAUGGCAUAAGCUAGCUUGACUGCGAGAGUGACGGCUCGAGCAGGUGCGAAAGCAGGUCAUAGUGAUCCGGUGGUUCUGAAUGGAAGGGCCAUCGCUCAACGGAUAAAAGGUACUCCGGGGAUAACAGGCUGAUACCGCCCAAGAGUUCAUAUCGACGGCGGUGUUUGGCACCUCGAUGUCGGCUCAUCACAUCCUGGGGCUGAAGUAGGUCCCAAGGGUAUGGCUGUUCGCCAUUUAAAGUGGUACGCGAGCUGGGUUUAGAACGUCGUGAGACAGUUCGGUCCCUAUCUGCCGUGGGCGCUGGAGAAUUGAGGGGGGCUGCUCCUAGUACGAGAGGACCGGAGUGGACGCAUCACUGGUGUUCGGGUUGUCAUGCCAAUGGCACUGCCCGGUAGCUAAAUGCGGAAAAGAUAAGUGCUGAAAGCAUCUAAGCACGAAACUUGCCCCGAGAUGAGUUCUCCCUGAGACUUUAAGUCUCCUGAAGGAACGUUGAAGACGACGACGUUGAUAGGUCGGGUGUGUAAGCGCAGCGAUGCGUUGAGCUAACCGAUACUAAUGAACCGUGAGGCUUAACCUU
rnacentral:rRNA from 1 species